rnacentral:tRNA from 1 species
GAAUAUGAAGCGAUAAAUUGCAAUUAGUUUCGACCUAAUCUCAGAUGACUCUAAUUCAUCCUUAUUCU